UUUUUUUUUUUAACCUUUAGAAUCCACUUUCAUGUUCCCACAUCACAGCAUAGAAGUCCAUGACUGGCACAAAGUGCAUCAACGUGCAUUGAAGUCAAGAUGCUAAUUCGGCCCCAGCAUGAUGGGAAAGAUGACGACAGCAGCAGCAGCAGCUCAGACAGCGAUUCUGAAAAGGCUCACAGUGGUGACAAGAAGAAAAAGAAGGAAAAGGAUUAAAUUUGGGGCAGCCAACAACUACCGGUAGCAGAGGACAUGAGCCGAGUUGCCGUAGAAUGUCUUCAGGGCAUUCGGAAAGGAAGGAAGAAGUGUCUGGGUUUAAUGCAUGUAAAACGAAGUGUAUCUGUUUUGUUUUCCAUUAAAACAUAAUACUCUGUUUAAUGCUC